rnacentral:rRNA from 1 species
AAAAACUCCGGUGGUAUGAGAUGGGCCCGCGUCUGAUUAGCUAGUUGGCGGGGUAACGGCCCACCAAGGCGACGAUCAGUAGCCGACCUGAGAGGGUGACCGGCCACAUUGGGACUGAGACACGGCCCAAACUCCUACGGGAGGCAGCAGUGGGGAAUAUUGCACAAUGGGGGAAACCCUGAUGCAGCGACGCCGCGUGAGCGAUGAAGUAUUUCGGUAUGUAAAGCUCUAUCAGCAGGGAAGAAGAUGGCGGUACCUGACUAAGAAGCCCCGGCUAACUACGUGCCAGCAGCCGCGGUAAUACGUAGGGGGCAAGCGUUAUCCGGAUUUACUGGGUGUAAAGGGAGCGUAGACGGCGGUGCAAGCCAGAUGUGAAAGCCCGGGGCUCAACCCCGGGACUGCAUUUGGAACUGUAUGGCUGGAGUGUCGGAGAGGCAGGCGGAAUUCCUAGUGUAGCGGUGAAAUGCGUAGAUAUUAGGAGGAACACCAGUGGCGAAGGCGGCCUGCUGGACGAUGACUGACGUUGAGGCUCGAAAGCGUGGGGAGCAAACAGGAUUAGAUACCCUGGUAGUCCACGCCGUAAACGAUGACUACUAGGUGUCGGGCAGCAAAGCUGUUCG